GACGAACGCUGGCGGCGUGCUUAACACAUGCAAGUCGAGCGGUAAGGCCCUUUCGGGGGUACACGAGCGGCGAACGGGUGAGUAACACGUGGGUGACCUGCCCUCAGCUCUGGGAUAAGCCUGGGAAACCGGGUCUAAUACUGGAUAUGACUCCAUGACGCAUGUUGUGGGGUGGAAAGCCUUGUGCGGCUGAGGAUGGGCCCGCGGCCUAUCAGCUUGUUGGUGGGGUGAUGGCCUACCAAGGCGACGACGGGUAGCCGGCCUGAGAGGGCGACCGGCCACACUGGGACUGAGACACGGCCCAGACUCCUGG
rnacentral:rRNA from 1 species